GAUGAAGAACGCAGCGAAAUGCGAUAAGUAAUGUGAAUUGCAGAAUUCAGUGAAUCAUCGAAUCUUUGAACGCACAUUGCGCCCCCUGGUAUUCCGGGGGGCAUGUCUGUUCGAGCGUCAUUUCACCACUCAAGCCUCGCUUGGUAUUGGGCAACGCGGUCCGCCGCGUGCCUCAAAUCGACCGGCUGGGUCUUCUGUCCCCUAAGCGUUGUGGAAACUAUUCGCUAAAGGGUGUUCGGGAGGCUACGCCGUAAAACAACCCCAUUUCUAAGGUUGACCUCGGAUCAGGUAGGGAUACCCGCUGAACUUAAGCAUAUCAAUAAGCGGAGGA
rnacentral:misc_RNA from 1 species